rnacentral:misc_RNA from 1 species
GUGCCAUGAUGCCCACUUGCUUUCACUGUUUGGCCACUGACUCAGGAACCUGUGGGCAAAUAUCUUUGUAUGGACAUAAGUA